AGCCAUGCAUGUUUCCGCAAUCAGGGACGAAUAGCUCAGUAAAACUGCGAUGAUUUAGUCUGGCUGUGUAGAUAACUACGUGAAAAUGUAGCUAAGGGAAGGCAGAAUAAGACGCAGGACUAUCAGUUAGUUGGUAGUGUAAUGGACUACCAAGACAGUGACGGUUGACGGGAAAUUAGGGUUUUGUACCGGAGAGGGAGCCUGAGAGAUUGCUCCCACGUCCAAGGACGGCAGCAGGCGCGAAAAUUGCCCACUCUUUGCAGGAGGCAGUUAUGAGACGUGAAGAUGAGUAUCUUGUAAAGAGGGAUAGGAGAAUUGGAGGGCAAGUUUGGUGCCAGCAGCCGCGGUAAUACCGACUCCAAGAGUGUGUAUGAGAGAUGCUGCAGUUAAAAAGUCCGUAGUCAUAGAAGGGCAAAGAGAGAUGCGAGGUCUCACAGUGCGAUGAUGGAGGAGCCGAUGGGGAACAUAGUAUACCAGGGCGAGAGAUGAAAUGCCAAGACCCCUGGUGGACUGAGCGAGGCGAAGGCGAUGUUCUUGUAGGCAUUCGGUGAUCAAGGACGAAGGCUGGAGUAUCGAAAGUGAUUAGAUACCGCAGUAGUUCCAGCAGUAAAAGAUGCCGACAUGCUCAUUGGACACAGUGGGCAGGGAGAAAUCUUAGAGUUCGGGCUCUGGGGAUAGUAUGCUCGCAAGGGUGAAAAUUAAAGAAAUUGACGGAGCUACACCACAAGGAGUGGAUUGUGCGGCUUAAUUUGACUCAACGCGAGGAAACUUACCAGGCCAAGUAUUGUGUAGAAACGAGCAAUACAGGAGUGGUGCAUGGUCGUUGGAAAUUGAUGGGAUGACUUUGACCUUAAAUGGUUGAAUGAGUGAGAUC
rnacentral:rRNA from 1 species